UACGUAGGGUGCAAGCGUUGUCCGGAAUUAUUGGGCGUAAAGAGCUCGUAGGCGGUUUGUUGCGUCGGCUGUGAAAUCCCGAGGCUCAACCUCGGGUCUGCAGUCGAUACGAGCAAACUAGAGUGUUGAAGGGGAGACUGGAAUUCCUGGUGUAGCGGUGAAAUGCGCAGAUAUCAGGAGGAACACCGGUGGCGAAGGCGGGUCUCUGGGCAACAACUGACGCUGAGGAGCGAAAGCGUGGGGAGCGAACAGG
rnacentral:rRNA from 1 species